ACUCACUUCUCUUCCGUACCACAGGGCUAGCAAUUUAGUUUGAAUAUCAACGAUCAAGUUGCAUUAAACUUGUACACAAGAAAAUGUUCAUUUGCAGUUCUCGAGUCAGUUAAUAUUCGCGGCUUAAUAUUGCAUCACGAUAAUGUAUCUUCACAAACUGUACAGCAGAAUGUUGAAUUUUUACGUGAUAAUAAUGUAACAGUCAUUGAACAUCCACCUUAUUUUCUUGUUUUGGCCAUAUUAUGUGAUUUCUGAUCAUUAUUUAUUCUGAAAUAUUUACGUCGUCGUUGUUUCAUGUCGGAGGAUGAGAUAGAUUGAAGCCAGUCAACAACUUUUUUAGAGUUUCCCAGAAUAUGACUGGCUUCAAGCUCUAAUGUUGUGGAAGCCUCGUUACGAAAGUGCAUUGAUGUAGUAGGUGGUUACUUUGAAUAUAAAUCAAAUAAUUUUCCAAAAAACUUAUAAUUUUUUGUAUCUCAAAAUAUGUAUGAUAUAGAUGCCUGAAAUGGGAAAUCCAUGAAAAGGAAUUACUGCCAUUUCUUCAUAUAAAAAUCGAGUUCAGCAUAUUAUAGUAGCUUACAUAUAUAUUUUUUAAAUUGUGCAAACAUGAAAAGUACAAUUUUCCUCAUAUUUUACAAUAAAUGAUUAUAUUUCUGUAAGGCA